rnacentral:rRNA from 1 species
UACGAAGGGAGCUAGCGUUGUUCGGAAUCACUGGGCGUAAAGCGCACGUAGGCGGAUUUGUCAGUCAGGGGUGAAAUCCCGGGGCUCAACCUCGGAACUGCCUUUGAUACAGCAAGUCUUGAGUUCGAGAGAGGUGGGUGGAAUUCCUAGUGUAGAGGUGAAAUUCGUAGAUAUUAGGAAGAACACCGGUGGCGAAGGCGGCCCACUGGAUCGGUACUGACGCUGAGGUGCGAAAGCGUGGGGAGCAAACAGG